GCAGGAGAGAUAUUUACUAGAACCUAACUGUAGAUUGCACAACCUCCUCCCAGCCCAUCCUGAGGUUGCACAAUCCUGCAUUCUUAUAAAUACAGCUGCACUCCAGCCUCUGGGAGUCUCUGCGGACCCAGCUGUGGAGAAAUUUUCUCCCCACUUCAGCAUCCGAGCCAGCCUGCAGGUCACCAUGAGGACUCCUUGCUUUCUGUUGCUCAUGUGCUGCCUCCUCCUCUCUCAAGGUGCCAGCAUUCUCGCAGGUCUGAGCAAACGUAACCUGUUCCUGCAGUGCGUCAGUCAAGGAGGAAACUGUUACUCUUAUGCUUGCCCUGCCAGCUAUGAUGCCAUUGGAUCCUGUGGCCUGGAAACGGACCUCUGCUGCAAGUGAGCUGAGGGUGGCCUGGAGGCAAAGCACCUUGGCCUCAGAUGUGUGAUCACUUUCUUAAUAAACAAGUCUCCCAGAAGCAUCUCACACUCA